rnacentral:rRNA from 1 species
UGGGCGAGAGACCGAUAGCAAACAAGUACCGCGAGGGAAAGAUGAAAAGGACUUUGAAAAGAGAGUCAAAGAGUGCUUGAAAUUGUCGGGAGGGAAGCGAAUGGGGGCCGGCGAUGCGCCCCGGUCGGAUGUGGAACGGCUAAUAGCCGGUCCGCCAAUCGACUCGGGGCGUGGACCGGUGCGGAUUGGGACGGAGGCCAAAGCCCAGGAAGUCGUUAACCUGCGGAGACGCCUUCGCCCCGAUCGUGGCUGGCAGCGCGCGCCAUCCGGCGUGCUUCGGCAUCUGCGCGCUCCCGG